GUGCUCAUCAGGCACAAGGCUGAGGCCAGGGAGCUUGUUAGUAGACUGUUACAUUGAUCCCAGCAAGACAAUAUGGUGUGUAAAGUGGGUUCGCUGGCAGUGACAAUAGGGUUUUCUGCCAGUUGGGAAUAAGGACAACACUUUGCACUCUUUACAUAGUCUUCAUAUGGCUACAUUUUUUGCUUUUGCUUUUUGUUUGUUUGUUUGUUUGUUUGUUUCUUGCUUGUUGAUUGUUUUUGUUCGUUUUGCUUUUAUUUUUUGUUUGGUUUGGUUUUUACAGAGUUCUUAAGUUUUUAUUUCUUCCUUCUUUUCUCAUUUCCUCCUAAGGAGUUCUCCUACCUCCAAAAUAUGCUUGCUUGGUCUCAAUAUCAACGUCAGGCACCUAGCAGACACUCUGAAAACAAGUUAUAUUUUAGUAACUCAGCAUCAUCUUGAAGCAUUUACUCUUCAAUUCUACAAACAUUCCUCUUUUAAAGUAUCUCAUUUAGAUAAUCGGCAUUAGCUUGGUAUUGAGCUGCGGUUAAGAAGUACUUGCUUACACUACGAUCUUUUAAGUCCUAAAUCUAUAGUAACAACACUCUUCCCUGGGCCUUGCUUUCCUCCAAUACUAUCUGGUUGCAGAGAUGACUGAGUGGCUCCGGACCUCUCUAACGCUCCUAAUGUCCUUCAUGUGCCUUCCCUUUGCUGGCUUGCUUCCUACUGAUGAAAUCAGUAUUCUCUGUGCUCCCUGGUAAUGACAGGGAGCUGUGAACUCCUUGCAGGGGAAGUGACUUUCUGUUUGAAGUCCAAGCCGACAAAGAUUUCCACAUUUCAGAGUGCCGUGGAGUUCUGUACAUAAAUUGAUUACGCAAUAUUUCUGGAGGCAGUCCAGACAAACUAUUAGGAAAAAUAGUUUGGGGUCUUCACAGAGAGUCUUGAAAAUACCUCCCCUUAAGUCAUUUUUAAUCUCCUCCCUAAAUUAAUUAUCUGUGCAGAUGAUAAAAUGAUAUGGGGUUUAGCAGAGAGAGAGAGAUCCUGUGGCAUUUUUAAGAAGGAACUUGUUUUUAUGCUGGCCUUUGAUGGAUGGGAUGCUUGACUACUGAACUGCCUAGGAAGGGAAUUCCUGUCCAAAGGAAAUGUAAAGCAAAGUGCAGAUGGGAGGGAAGCAGGAGGUUCAGUAGGAUGUGGCCAUAGGACUGGUGCAGACAAGUGGUAGGAGAUGGAAUCAAGAGCUCUGUUUAGGUUACAGUGUGGAUGGUCUUGUGUGAAGGACUGGAGGGUCUGCUUUUAUUUAGCUAAGAACAGGUGCAAAGUGGAAAAGCAUUGCUAUGGAGGGAGCAUCUCACUGUGCUCCAGUUAGGAACAGGAAGCGCCUCCAUAUGGGAGGUAGAGUCUUUGAUAAAGAUCCUUGAUUACUCAGAGUGUGGAGGGCAUUUCACCCAGAUGGCAGAAUAGUGUGCCCGAAGAUGUACAGGCAGGAAGUCACCAGGUACACUGGGGACAUUAAAAUGAGUGCUUGCAACCUCCAUGUAUGCUUCUCUGUGCCUCAGUCUUUGCAGGCCUCUCACUGAGUGAGGCAGAAAGAUGAAGGCUAAGCAAGAAGCCAGAAACCUCCAGCACACCCAAAAGCCAGACAGUAGAGUUAUAGGUAAAGGGUAGGGUGGUGACUGCCAACAUCUAUCUGUGCCUCAACCAUUACGUGUGGCCACAUCUUGGGUUCCCUGCUAUGUCGAAUCCUAAGCUCAAACGUUUGGAUGUUAAUAUUCUCUUCUGCUUAUGUGUUAUUGUCACAUUUACUUUAGUGCCUGUUCCCUCUCACCUUCUGUUAUCCUGGUAUGAUUUCCCCUGUUGGUGGAACUCUGAUUUUUUUUUUUUUUUAAUCACCUCAUUCCUGUUUUAGCCUUAUAUGACCUUAACUUUGUAUCUAAUGAGGCCAUGCUAAUUCGUGCUGUGAGCUUGUGAGUUUUCUUUAAGCCUGGAGAGAGGUCAUGAGACAAGGCCAAGGGAUGUUUCUUUCUUCCUGCAGCUGCUGCUCUAGAGGUCUGACCAAUUUACUUUCUCAUUGUCAUUGGACUGGUUCCCGGAGAAACAAGUGGCUGGAUCUGUGUCUGAGUUACAGGCAGGAGGAGGGCAUACAGUGAUGAAAAAGGCUGAGGCUGGGUGUAGGGCUCAGGGAGGUGGGACUGGAGGGGAGUGCCACUCGGCCUAUUGAAAUGCCAUCCACUCUAUCAGCGAGGGGCAGAGGCCAACAAUUUGCGUGACAUGAUUAGUACAGGAAAGCAAAUUAAAUGGUUAUUAGAGAGAGGCAAUCAAUUGGUACCUGGCAGCAGGCUGUGAGAAAAUCUGUCAGUCUCCUUCAUUAAAUGAAGAAAUGCCUUCAGGGGAGCCUUUUCUAAACAUGCUUACUUAGUUACACCCAAGGCCCUGUCUCUUAGUAAUAAGUAACCUAUCAUUAUUAUUAGCAGUAAUAUAAUAAUAAUAACAGUAUUAAUAGCAAAUAUUGUUUUCUUUAAAAUACUAAGUCUUAGAGAAUAUUUUAUUACUACUGUUUCUUGGGUUUUUGUUUUUGUUUGGUUUUUUUUUUUUUUUUUUUUUUUUUUUUUCCCUUUUUUUUUUUUUUUUUGUCUUUUUGCCAUUUCUUGGGCCUCUCCCGCGGCAUAUGGAGUUUCCCAGGCUAGGGGUCGAAUUGGAGCUGUCUGAGCCACAUCUGUGACCUACACCACAGCUCACGGCAACGCCAGAUCGUUAACCCACUGAGCAAGGGCAGGGAUCGAACCCACAACCUCAUGGUUCCUAGUCGGAUUCGUUAACCACUGCACCACGACGGGAACUCCCACUACCGUUAUUCUUAUUGGUGUUGUUCCUAGUAUGAGAAAUAUAUCUUUCACACACUGGGUUCCAACGACCAUCUUUAUAAGUACUAUGUAUUUUUUCACUUAGGCAAAAGGAUUUGUUGGUGAGGGGACUUUUCCCCUUCCUACAUCACUACUCUGAAGCUUAACUGUUUAUAA
ensembl:lncRNA